CCUAGUUCGGACCACUUUAGUACUUUGACUUUUUAGACUAUUUGACUAUUUAUUAAUGAUCGAAGCUUUAAUAUUUUACUUGAGUACGAGUACGAAAGUUUUUGAGCCGGUAAAUCCAAAAAUAGGCUACUUGCCUCUUUUGUAAAAGUGUGUUUAAACUAAAUUAUGGAAGCAGUGUUACCAACUCUCUAACGGUGGAAUUCAUAGUCGUAGUAGGGGGCCCCUAAGGGGAUUAUUCAGCCGCUAUGUGUCGAAUUCAACCCCUACGCGUUUCAUAGACAAAAGAAACCCUUCAUUUGACAGGAGCUGGCGGCUGACUGCUGAAUUACCGAUAUUUGUCAGCCAAACCAUCCCCUGGCAUUUUUUUUGUUGUUAUUCGUGAUUUAUUUAUUAGAAAGUGGACUUGGAAAGUGUUAAGACUGUGUAUAAACAGCGAGUUAUAUCAGUAUCCAAGAUAAAUAUUCGCAAUUGCGUAAAUCCAGUUUAAUACUAUGGCGUUAUGGAAUGUACGAAAGAUUCUCAUAUUAGGCAUAAUAUGCCUCUGUUUGAUGAAGAAUGAACACAGAAGACCCAAGAGAGGAAUACCAAUACCGCUAUUAUUAUGCAUUCUAGCAGCACUUCGAUUCUAUGUAACGGGAUGUUUCCAGACUGUAUGUGCAGUCCAUCAAGCAUUCUAUGAAAUAACAGAAAUGCCACAAAUCAAGCUGUAUUGAUGGCAGACAUAGGUAUACAUAUAAACAACCCCGGAGGACCCUAUACACAGAUUUAAAGAAACCGGCUAUCAUGGCAGGGAAUAGCAGUGAUGAGCUCUGAGAAUACUGUUUUACCAAGAAUACUGAGAAUACUUUGGUCCUUGAAAAUCCGAGUUUUCAGAUCACAGUAAUUGGAAGACCCACAUACCUUGAAAAGUCAGCAGCAUUUAAUAUCGAGGUAGUAGGAGUGAGUGCAAUGUAUUGUAAGGUGGUCACUCACUCUGAAGUCCAUAACAAUAGAAAAUAUAUACAAAUCUUAAUUGAAUGAAUGAUGGAAAAUAAAAAUUUAUUGAUUCACAUCUUUAAUAAAGAUUAUUAUUAAAUGUUUACUUCUGCAUUUUUCAUUUAAGUCUGGCCCUAUAAAAAUAUACAAUAAUAACAAUAAGUUAUAUGUAAAUUAUGUAUUUAUUGUUGUUAUUAAUUAAACUUUGUAUCAAAAGGAUAUAGGUUUGAUUUUAGAAUUGCAAUAAGUACUGUGUGGUUCAUUAUUAUCAGCCCAUUACCGGGCCAAGCCUACCUCCUAAAUAUAUAAUAUUAUGUGAUCUAGAGCUUUGUGAAAUGCAAUUUUACCACUAAUCCUAAUGAUAAGCUACACUUAUAUUUAUUUACUGCACUUACUAUAAAUUGUAAAUAAAUACAGCAUAAUAGUACCUACUUGUAAUUAUUUCAGGUAAUUAUAGGUGGUUUUGAGUAAAAUAAACAAAUUUCCUCUGACAAUAA